UGAAGUAUAUUUGAGGAUAAUGAUGUUGUUUGUACUGAAGUUUGUGGUUUCCAGCAUGAUGGUAGUCUGCACCUGCAAGCUAGAAGCCAGAAGUAUGGAAAGGUUUGCUUGUGGAAAUUGAUUACACUAAAAUGGUAUUCUAUCCUCACAAGAAACUGUAUCUACUUAUUCUACUGAGUGUGUGUGAGGAUUCUAGGGUUUUUUUUUUUUUUUUUUUUUUUUAAAACUUUAUUAAUAAAAUGGCCGAAGCCAA